rnacentral:rRNA from 1 species
AGAGUUUGAUCAUGGCUCAGGAUGAACGCUGGCGGCGUGCUUAACACAUGCAAGUCGAACGAACCCUUUCGGGGGUGAGUGGCGGACGGGUGAGUAACGCGUGAGGAUCUGCCUACAGGAUGGGGACAACAGCGGGAAACUGCUGCUAAAACCCAAUGUGCCGAGAGGUGAAAUAUUUAUAGCCUGUAGAUGAGCUCGCGUCUGAUUAGCUAGUUGGUGAGGUAAAGGCUUACCAAGGCGACGAUCAGUAGCUGGUCUGAGAGGACGAUCAGCCACACUGGGACUGAGACACGGCCCAACUCCUACGGGAGGCAGCAGUGGGGAAUUUUCCGCAAUGGGCGAGAGCCUGACGGAGCAACGCCGCGUGAGGGAGGAAGGCCUGUGGGUUGUAAACCUCUUUUCUC